rnacentral:rRNA from 1 species
UACAGAGGGGGCAAGCGUUGUUCGGAAUUACUGGGCGUAAAGGGCGCGUAGGCGGCCUGCUAAGUCGAACGUGAAAUCCCUGGGCUUAACCCAGGAACUGCGUCCGAUACUGGCAGGCUUGAAUCCGGGAGAGGGAUGCGGAAUUCCAGGUGUAGCGGUGAAAUGCGUAGAUAUCAGGAGGAACACCUGUGGUGUAGACAGCUUACUGGACCAUUUCUGACGCUGAGACACGAAAGCGUGGGUAGCAAACAGG